UACGUAGGGGCUAGCGUUGUCCGGAAUCAUUGGGCGUAAAGCGCGUGUAGGCGGUCCGGUAAGUCCGCUGUGAAAGUCGGGGGCUCAACCCUCGGAUGCCGGUGGAGUACUGUCGGGCUUGAGUACGGAAGAGGCGAGUGGAAUUCCUGGUGGUAGCGGUGAAAUGCGCAGAGUAUCAAGGAGGAACACCAAUUGCGAAGGCAGCUCGCUGGACGUUACUGACGCUGAGACGCGAAGCGUGGGGAGCAAACAGG
rnacentral:rRNA from 1 species